ACUCAAAGGAAUUGACGGGGGCCCGCACAAGCGGUGGAUUAUGUGGUUUAAUUCGAUGAUACGCGAGGAACCUUACCAAGGCUUAAAUGGGAAAUGACAGGUUUAGAAAUAGACUUUUCUUCGGACAUUUUUCAAGGUGCUGCAUGGUUGUCGUCAGCUCGUGCCGUGAGGUGUUAGGUUAAGUCCUGCAACGAGCGCAACCCCUGUCACUAGUUGCCAUCAUUAAGUUGGGGACUCUAGUGAGACUGCCUACGCAAGUAGAGAGGAAGGUGGGGAUGACGUCAAAUCAUCACGGCCCUUACGCCUUGGGCCACACACGUAAUACAAUGGCCGGUACAGAGGGCAGCUACACAGCGAUGUGAUGCAAAUCUCGAAAGCCGGUCUCAGUUCGGAUUGGAGUCUGCAACUCGACUCUAUGAAGCUGGAAUCGCUAGUAAUCGCGCAUCAGCCAUGGCGCGGUGAAUACGUUCCCGGGCCUUGUACACACCGCCCGU
rnacentral:rRNA from 1 species